UUCCAUCUCUUCUAUUCCAACAUAUCCCUUCUUCAAACUUUGAACAAUAGCUCUUUUCAAUUUCUUAUUUAUUUAUUACACUUCAGGUAUCAUUCUCUCAAUUUUUGCUCACAUCUCUUUCUUUCUUAGUUUCUUUUAAAUCAGUUUAACUGUUUCCAAUUUCAAGGAUGAAUUUUCUUGAAUUUCGUUUUUUCCAACUAGAUACUGCGGAAUCACUCUUUUAAUGGUUAUUCUCCGUCCAAUUUCAUUGUUGUUGUCUUCUUCUUACUGAUUCACCUCUAUCUCUUCUUCUUAAGGUAUUGACAUUUAUUAUUCUGCUAACUUAAAAACAAAAGGGAUAUUUAGUUUUACUCCUAAAUAUCGAUUUCGGUAUUGAUUUGGUAUCGGGCACUCAGCCCAUUUCUAUUUCACCUUAUCGUAUGACACCGGAGGAGUUAAAGAAGUUGAAAGAGCAACUUCAGGAACUCCUUGAUAAGGGGUUCAUUGGUAGCCCAAUAUGGAUGUGUGUUCUACAUCGAGUCGGCCUUGUUGAUUCGGAAUUGCUAUUGUUGAGGGAUGUGUCAUUCGAUUGUCGUUGAGCUUAUUCGUGUUCUAAAGUGAUCUAUGAGUUACCUUUCCGUGUUGCGAUUCGUUGAUUUUAUGCACAAGUGAUAUGGUUCUACUUGGUCUUUAUAGCAGAAUUUGAAUGAGACGGGUAUUUGGGUGUUGCAUGAUUGAUUGUGCAUUGGAUAUGUUUUUUCGGAUUGGUAUGGCAUUGAGUCAUUUGUUUCUCCGUGGUUAUGAUGAUUCACUUUUGGUACUAGGUAUCAAAUUGCACGUGGUAAUUGAUUUUGAGCAUGGUGACGUGAGGUGUUUCAUGUGGACCAGCAUUUGGAUAGGGUCGUGCAUUGCCGCAAAGUUAGGUGGAGGUAUGAUCCUUCAGAUUAGAUUUGUGUGUUCUGGUUAUACGAUGUGUGGUGGGUUCUUAGCAUCGUGUUGUGAUGGCACUGAUGAGCUUGCGGUACAACUCUCACAUUUGAGUUAUUUUCCAUGAUUUGAGUAUAUUUGGGUUGUUGCUUAUUGGUGCGCGGAUUGCACGGGUCGCGGAGUUAGAUUAUAUUGAUGUGUCAUGUCACUAGAGCAGUCAUGUUGGUUGAGAUGAGGGCAUUGGGAUCUAGAAUAAACACUAUCGGAUUCGGUCUCAGCAUGUUGGAAGGAUAAUAUCGGGAUUCGGGUUAGAAAUUUACUACAGUCCUUGCAGAAGGAUAGGGAACUCCAUGACUGGUUGAUUUGAGGAAUGGUUAUGGUUUCUAUGUGUUUCUUUCCUCAUUGGUAGUAUAUGAAAGUGUUGGAGUAGAGUUUAUUUCAUAAAAGGUUUAUUACCAGAAUUGGGUUGUUUGGGCAGCUGCUGUGAUUAGAAGUUAUCGCUAUGAGUGUUUGAGUUGUGUGGUAUAUCAUGUGAUUUCCAUCUUGAAUUAUGGUUCUGGCUUGAUACAGUGUGUUCAGACUUAUUUAGUGUGUAGAUGUGAGAUUCUGAUCUUAUGGAUAAUUUCAGAAGUGAAAAUUUGGUUCUAAGGCUAAUGGGCUAGGUUGGAUUGUGAAAUUUCAGUUAUGUUGUGCUAUCGGUCAUAUAUGGGAUGGGGUGACGUGGGAUCACCCCCGGGUAUGUGCGUGGUAAGGGUACACAACGAUUUGGUGGUUUUCGGAACAACUCUGGGCACGUUCGAGGACGAAUGUAUGCUUAAGUGUGGAAUGGUGUAACAACCCGACCGGUCAUUUUGGGCAUUUGCACUUCGCUCGCUAGUUCUCGGGCAUGACUAGCCCCGUAUGAUGUAUUAUGACUUAUGUAAAUCGUCGGUUUUGGUUUUCAGGUUAAUCGGAACAGAUAUGGAAUAACGAUUCUCGGCUUGAAGUUUUAAAUUUGAAAGCUUUGACCAAGUUUUGACUUUUUAGUAUUCGAUCACGAAUUUGGAUUAUGAUGUUUCGGAUAGCUCUGUUAGGUGAUUUUGGACUUAGGAGAGUGUUCUGAAUGUAAUUUGGAGGUCCGUGGUAGAAUUAGGCUUGAAUUGGCGAAAUUGGAAAUUUGGAGUUUUUGGUUGGUAGUGGAAAUCUUGAUAUAGGGGUCGAAAUGGAAUUUCGGAAGUUGGAGUAGGUUCGUAGUGUCAUUUGUGAAGUGUGUGCAAAAUUUCAGGUCAUUCGGACGAGGUUUGAUAGGUUUCGAUGUUGUUUGUGGAAUUUGGAAAUUUAGAUGUUCUUAAGCUUGAAUCCAAGGUUGAUUUGGUGUUUUGAUGUUGUUUUGAGUGAUUUGGAGGUUCGACUAAGUUUGAAUGAUGUUAUGGGAUGUGUUGGCAUGUUUGGUUGAGGUCUCGAGGACCUCGGGUGUGUUUCGGAUGCUCAACGGGUCAUUUUUGGACUUAAGGAGUUUGCUGUUUUGUUGGUGUUCUGCAGCCAGUGUGUUCUUCAUCGCGAUCGCGGGAGGAGGUUCGCGAUCGCGUAGGGCAAAUGGGAGGCCAGCUGGGUUAAUUCUUCACGAUCGCAGAGAAUGGGACGCGAUCGCAUAGGUCAGUCAGGUUGUGCAACACGAACGCGUAGGCCAGGCCGUGUUCGCAUAGAAGAAAUAAGGCAGCAGAGGAAAGUUGACGUUACCCUUCGCAUUCGCGCGGGGUCAAUCGCGAUCGCGUAAGUCAGAGGAACCCCUACAUCGCGUUCGCGUGUGGAGUAACGCGGUCGCAUAGAGGAAAAUGUUGAGGCGACAAAGUUCUUCUUCGCGAUUGCGAGGGUGUUUCUGCGAUCGCGAUUAAGGAAAUGUUUGGGCAGAAUGUUUAAGUUUAAAAAAUGAGGGUUUUGGUCCAUAAUUUCAAAAUUCAUUAGAGAGCUCGGGAGAAGGCAAUUUUGGAGGGGGUUUUCAGAGGAGUGAUUGGGGUAAGUGUUCUUCACUCAAAUUUGGUUAAAUCCCAUGAUUAUGUCUUGAUUUUUAUCAUUUACUUUGGGAAUUUGGGGUGAAAAUUGGGAAAAAUGGAAGAAAAUUUAGAGAGUUGAUUUUGGGGAUUUGGAUGGCCAUUUGAUAUCGGAUUUUGGUAAAUUUGAUAUGGGUAGAUUCGUGAGCGAAUGGGUUUUCCAUUUUUGUGAUUUUAUCGGAUUAUGAGACGUGAGCCCGGGGGUCGGGUUUGACCAAUUUCGGGAUUUUCGAGUUAAUUUGAUUAUUUUUGCUUGGCUUUGUUCCUUUAGCGUGUAUUGAUGUACGAUCAGAUUCGAUAGAUUCGGGGCGAUUUGAGUCCGAUUCGAGAGGCAAGGGUAUCGCGGGUUAGAGUUUUGUCGUUUCACUACUUUGUUGUGACGCACACACUAGAUGACGAGCGUGGGGGCAUGCACCGUUGGGGAUUGUGACUUGGUCCGUCCUGUAUGACUAUUAAGUCUCAUAUUUGACUGGAAAUUUUAUUUGAUACUAUUAUGCUUUGGAAAGUUUUACUAUGUUUUUGGUUGAAUGCCAUAUUUAGGCCUCGUGCCAAGCUGUUUGGACCCUUAGGGAUUUUUACUACUACUCCUCAUUGUUUUGAUUUAAUAUCUGUACUCAGUCAUGCUAUAUUUUUACUGAUUUCAUAACUCAGUCUUAUUUACUCUGUUUGUUAUAUAAAAUGAUAUUUUGGGCUGAGCACCCUUUUCACUGUUAGCCUGAGUGGCUUGAGAGAUUUCUGACUGAGUAAGGCCGAGGGCCUGUGUUGUGAGGAUAUUAUGGGAUCGGGGUACACGCCGCAGCAGGUUGUUACUGAUUCAUGAUAUUGUGAGGCCAAGGGCCUGAUUGAUUUAUGCGACUAGGUGGCUUGUUGUUAUGUGAGGCCGAGGGCCUGAUGUAUUAUGCCACGAAAUAGCUUGUUAUAGAGCUAGGGUUGUAGGAGCCCCUCCGGAGUCUGUACACCUCUAGUGAGCGCGGGUACCCAGAGUGAGUGAUAUGAUGUAUGCCCUAGGGGCUGAUCUUGAUUUAUGUUAUGCCCGAGGGGAUGAUUACGAGUGACUGUGAGGUAGCCCGAGGGGGCUAGUUCUGAUUGAUGUUAUGCCCGAGGGGCGGUUUAUGAUACAUGUCUUGCCCGAGGGCUGAUCUUGAUUUAUGUUGUCCGAGGGCUGUAUAAGAGUGAGUUUUGCACGAGAGACUGAUUAUUUUUUCACUAUUUUUGCUCACUAUUUUAUCACUUUGUUUGAGAAAUUGUUGAAAGACAUUUUCAAAGGAUUUUCACUGAAAUUAGGUUUUUAACGAGAUGAUUUGAUUUAUAUACUAUUUUGGAAACAUACUGUACUUACUGUGGUGUUAUAAUGCUGAUUAUGUAUUUUCUUACGGCUCAGUCUCUAUUUACUUUUAUUACUUACUGAGUUGGCGUACUCACAUUACUCUCUGCAUCAUGUGUGCAUAUCCAGGAGUUGCGUGUCUCGAUAGCGAGCGCUGAUCGUUAUUCCAGUAGGGCUUCGGAGUCAGCAAGGUAGCUGCUUGGCAUUCGCAGCCAUGCACUUCUCCUUCUUACCUUACUCAGACUGUUUUUAGUAUCUCUAUUUCCGAACUAUGAUAGCCUUGUCGUACUUAAACAGACCUUGUAGUUGCUCGUGACUUGUGACACCCUGAUGUCGGGCUUGUGUUAUUUUUCUUCCGCACUGGUUAUUGAGACCCAUGUUAUGAGAUAUUGCCA
rnacentral:lncRNA from 1 species